rnacentral:lncRNA from 1 species
CAAAACCCAACAUGGGGUUUCCAAUGGCCUCUCUUACUCUUACUACUCUUGCAUUAACCUUAAUCUCCCUCACCUUCUCAUCUCACACAUUGGCUGACAACUACAUCUACUCAUCUCCUCCACCACCACCAAAGCCUUACUACUACCAUUCUCCUCCACCACCACCACCAAAGCAUUCUCCUCCUCCUCCAUAUUACUACCAUUCUCCACCUCCACCAAAACAUUCACCUCCUCCUCCCUAUUACUACCACUCUCCUCCACCACCAAAGCAUUCUCCUCCUCCCCCAUAUUACUACCACUCUCCACCUCCACCAAAGCAUUCUCCUCCUCCACCCUACUACUACCACUCUCCUCCACCACCAAAGCACUCACCUCCUCCUCCAUAUUACUACCAUUCUCCACCACCACCAAAACACUCUCCUCCUCCUCCCUAUUACUACCACUCUCCACCUCCACCAAAGCACNUAUUACUACCAUUCUCCACCACCACCAAAACACUCUCCUCCUCCUCCCUAUUACUACCACUCUCCACCUCCACCAAAGCACUCUCCUCCUCCUCCCUAUUAUUACCACUCUCCUCCACCACCUAAGCACUCACCUCCUCCACCCUACUACUACCACUCUCCUCCACCACCAAAACACUCACCUCCUCCACCUUACUACUACCACUCUCCACCACCACCAAAGAACCCACCAUACAAGUACUCAUCUCCUCCACCACCAGUUUACAAGUACAAGUCCCCUCCUCCUCCCUACAAGUACCCAUCUCCUCCUCCUCCACCGUACAAGUACCCCUCUCCACCACCGCCAGUUUACAAGUAUAAAUCUCCUCCACCCCCAGUUUACAAAUACAAGUCUCCUCCUCCUCCUUACAAGUACCCAUCUCCUCCACCACCACCAUACAAGUACCCUUCUCCUCCACCACCAGUAUAUAAAUACAAGUCUCCUCCUCCUCCAGUUUACAAGUACAAGUCCCCCCCUCCUCCCUACAAAUACCCAUCUCCUCCACCUCCCCCAUACAAAUACCCUUCUCCUCCACCACCGGUUUAUAAGUACAAGUCUCCACCACCACCGGUUUACAAGUACAAGUCUCCACCACCACCGGUUUAUAAGUACAAGUCUCCACCACCACCGGUUUACAAGUACAAGUCUCCACCACCACCGGUUUAUAAAUACAAGUCUCCACCACCACCGGUUUACAAGUAUAAGUCUCCACCACCACCGGUUUACAAAUAUAAGUCUCCACCACCACCCUACAAGUAUCCUUCUCCACCACCCCCAGUCUACAAAUACAAGUCACCUCCACCACCAGUUUACAAGUAUAAGUCACCACCACCACCCUACAAAUACCCAUCUCCUCCACCGCCACCCUACAAGUACCCAUCUCCACCACCCCCGGUUUACAAAUACAAAUCCCCUCCACCCCCAGUUUACAAGUAUAAGUCUCCCCCUCCUCCUGUUCAUUCACCACCUCCACCACACUACAUCUACGCAUCCCCGCCUCCUCCAUAUCACUACUAGAUAGUGCUUUUGCAUAGUGUUGUUCCUCGUGGUAAUCUUCUACACAAAACCUACAUUAUCGUAAUAAUCAUGUAAUUAAUAUUUACGUUAAAACUCUCUUUACAUGCAAUCACGUGCAAUCUAUUAGGGUAAUGUUCUGCCUAAGUUGCAGUUUACAAAGUUAUCCGCAGUAUUUGACGUUAACACUCUUUUUUGUUUCGAUCGAACAGUACUUUCAUUUUCUUUUUUAAAUUUCAAAAUUUUAAAUUUUGACUGUUGACCAUAGUAAUCAUGGUUUCAACUUCCAUUUUUUUUAAUUAAAUUUUUGAGAAGUUUAAGGCAAUUUUUUUGUUUAUUUCAUGUUUAUUAGAAACAAAUUAUGCAUAUUCUUUUAAGCGUACUUUUAUUAUUCUUAAAAGAUGUUAAUCUUUUAUCUUUUUCAAAGCUUUGAUCGCCGACCUACCUUUCAAAGGUAUACCACCUCCACAGUACUACAAUUUCUUACUCGAAUUUAACACCGUAUACAGUAUCGUAUGUUUUUUACUUACAUGUAACAUUUUGCGUAUAUAGUUAUAAAUAGUCAGUCUAUCAACACUUCUCAUUUUUUUUUUCUCACACAUAAUAUUAUUAAUUAUAUUAGAUACAUAUUUCUCUUUCCUUAGAUAACUAAAGAGUGUUGGAGUUUUUUUUUUCUUCGUGUACAUACAUAUUUUAAGGAUAAAAAUCCAAAACCAAAGGGGAAAAAAAGUAUAUUAAUAAUCUAAAUAACAACCAUUUUACCUGCAUUACUAUAUGAGGGAGAAAUAUUUCCUCAUAUUUGAUGACAUUAUUGUGGGAAUAACUAGUGAAAGGGACUGUAGACUAUUAUGUUAACCAUGUGCAUGUACUUUGUAGGUUAUUUAUGAAGAAUAUGUGCCAAUAAAGAACGUUGUUGAUAGAAAGAAGAUGCAUUUUGCAUUCCCACAAGGAAAACAACGGAAGCAAAGUUUCCGAGCGUUUUGUCUCAUAAGAAGAAAGACGUGUGUCAAUCCUUUUCUUUUUCGUUUGUAUUGUUCAUCCAUUAUUAUUGUAUUUUUAUACAGUUGUAAGGCACUUCUUUGCUUUCUCUAAUUGAACAUCACAAGAAUGCAUUUUGAUUGUGACGCAAAUUUAAUAAUAAAUAAAAAAUAAUGCUUUCUCCCUUGCUCUUUGUAUAUUUUUUAGACCAAUUCUAAAAUAUAUUUUUAGUGUUUUCAAUAAUACUAGUUUGAUUUACAGAUAAUAAAUUGGUAGUUUAUAUUUAAUCCA